AUUGAACGCUGGCGGCAGGCCUAACACAUGCAAGUCGAACGAGGGGCGGACGGGUGAGUAAUGUCUGGGAAACUGCCUGAUGGAAGGGGAUAACUACUGGAAACGGUAGCUAAUACUGCCUACCAUCAGAGGUGCCUAGAUUGGUUUAGCUGGUUGGGGGGGUACCGGCUCACCAAGUCGACGAUCCCUAGCUGGUCUGAGAGGCUGACCACCCACACUGGAACUGGUACACGGGCCAGACUCCUACGGGAGGCAGCAGUGGGGAAUAUUGCACAAUGGGCGCAAGCCUGAUGCAGCCAUGCCGCGUGUAUGAAGAAGGCCUUCGGGUUGUAAGGUACUUUCAGCGGGGAGGCGUUACCCGCAGAAGAAGCACCGGCUAACUCCGUGCCAGCAGCCGCGGUAAUUC
rnacentral:rRNA from 1 species